ensembl:lncRNA LAMTOR5-AS1 LAMTOR5 and SLC16A4 antisense RNA 1
UAAGUUUUGUUAAAUUUGAGUAAGAAGACCUGUUUGUUUCCUCAAGUUGCUUAUAAUCUAGGUGAGGACACAUCUGAGAGAAUAACUAAUAGUUCAGUGAAGUUAAAAACAACAACAACAACAACAAAAACACAAAACCCUGAGGCUCAGAAGAUAAAUAUUUGCUGAAGAUCACUGUGCUUAUUAGAUGGGUGUUACUGAUUCUUACCUCAGAGAAGAGAAUGUCAUGGAGACAAAAUGACCUGCUUAGAGUUCUGCACCCCCCAGCAUGGAGAGCAGAGCGCAAAGAUUUCUUCCGGACUCCCACAUUCCCCUUGGAAUCCAAGAACUGGUCUACUGUCACAACACUUUAGUACCCUCUUCUCCCAAGGAGGCAGCAGAAACUGGGGUAAUCACAACGGUCAACAGCAGCAAAGGCAGCACUUUCUGAUUUACUUGACUGCUAUGGAUGCCACCUCUCUCCACGCCUCAGUUUAAUAUCUGUAAGUUUGGGCAGUACUGCUGUCAGUGAAUCAGCUUUAUCUGUGCAGUGGGCAAGAAGGACCCACUGGGUGACUACAAUAUGGCACUUUGGUAUGUUGGUUAUUUUAAGUUAGAGGCCUUUGAUGCUGGAAGAAGCUUUACUCUGAUAUCUCCUUAUCUACCACAAGACUGGAUCUGCCAAAGAGAACACAAUUGCGUUCCAUUCCCUUCCUGAAAUCUCAUUAUCUAUGGCAGAAAAGAAGACUGGGGAAUGUAAUACACAGUAUUACACAGUAAUGUAACAUACUACACAGUAUUUACACAAAACAUGUAACACAGAAUGUACUACACAGUAUUUUCACAAAACAAUAUCUGUCUCUCCAACUCAUUCAAAUUCUAAAGAGUCAUUUACACGUCAA